rnacentral:rRNA from 1 species
UACGUAGGGUGCAAGCGUUAAUCGGAAUUACUGGGCGUAAAGCGUGCGCAGGCGGUUGUGUAAGACAGGCGUGAAAUCCCCGGGCUCAACCUGGGAAUUGCGCUUGUGACUGCACAGCUGGAGUGCGGCAGAGGGGGAUGGAAUUCCGCGUGUAGCAGUGAAAUGCGUAGAUAUGCGGAGGAACACCGAUGGCGAAGGCAAUCCCCUGGGCCUGCACUGACGCUCAUGCACGAAAGCGUGGGGAGCAAACAGG